rnacentral:rRNA from 1 species
GGAGAUGCGCUGCUACCUGCAGUCGACGAACCUUUCGGGGUUAGUGGCGGACGGGUGAGUAACGCCUGAGGAUCUGCCCUUAGGUGGGGGACAACCAUUGGAAACGAUGGCUAAUACCGCAUAUGGCGAGAGCUGAAAGCUUAAUGUGCCUGAGGAAGAGCUCCCGUCUGAUUAGCUAGUUGGUGGGGUAAAGGCUUACCAAGGCGACCAUCAGUAGCUGUUCUGAGAGGAAGAUCAGCCCCCCUGGGACUGAGACACGGCCCAAACUCCUACGGGAGGCAGCAGUGGGGAAUUUUCCGCAAUGGGCGCAAGCCUGACGGAGCAACGCCGCGUGAGGGAGGAAUGUCUGUGGAUUGUAAACCUCUUUUCUCUGUGAAGAAGAUCUGACGGUAGCAGAGGAAUCAGCAUCGGCUAACUCCGUGCCAGCAGCCGCGGUAAGACGGAGGAUGCAAGCGUUAUCCGGAAUUAUUGGGCGUAAAGCGUCCGUAGGCGGUUAUUUAAGUCAGUUGUUAAAGACUACAGCUCAACUGUGGGAGAGCAACUGAAACUGGGUGACUAGAGUAUGGUAGGGGUAGAGGGAAUUCCUAGUGUAGCGGUGAAAUGCGUAGAUAUUAGGAAGAACACCAGUGGCGAAGGCGCUCUACUGGGCCAAGACUGACGCUGAUGGACGAAAGCUAGGGGAGCGAAAGGGAUUAGAUACCCCUGUAGUCCUAGCUGUAAACGAUGGAUACUAGGUGUUGUGCGUAUCGACCCGUGCAGUACCGCAGCAAACCCGUUAAGUAUCCCGCCUGGGGAGUACGCACGCAAGUGUGAAACUCAAGGU